UAACCCUUCACUACCCUCCACAUCCAGCUGUAGGUACAGUAACCCUCCACUACCCUCCACAUCCAGCUGUAGGUACAGUAACCCUUCACUACCCUCCUCAUCCAGCUGCAGAGUGGCAGGUACAGUAACCCUUCACUACCCUCCACAUCCAGCUGUAGGUACAGUAACCCUCCACUACCCUCCUCAUCCAGCUGUAGGUACAGUAACCCUCCACUACCCUCCACAUCCAGCUGUAGGUACAGUAACCCUUCACUACCCUCCACAUCCAGCUGUAGGUACAGUAACCCUUCACUACCCUCCUCAUCCAGCUGUAGGUACAGUAACCCUUCACUACCCUCCUCAUCCAGCUGUAGGUACAGUAACCCUCCACUACCCUCCUCAUCCAGCUGUAGGUACAGUAACCCUCCACUACCCUCCUCAUCCAGCUGUAGGUACAGUAACCCUUCACUACCCUCCUCAUCCAGCUGUAGGUACAGUAACCCUUCACUACCCUCCUCAUCCAGCUGUAGGUACAGUAACCCUUCACUACCCUCCUCAUCCAGCUGUAGGUACAGUAACCCUUCACUACCCUCCUCAUCCAACUGUAGGUACAGUAACCCUUCACUACCCUCCUCAUCCAGCUGUAGGUACAGUAACCCUUCACUACCCUCCUCAUCCAGCUGUAGGUACAGUAACCCUUCACUACCCUCCUCAUCCAGCGGUAGGUACAGUAACCCUCCACUACCCUCCACAUCCAGCUGUAGGUACAGUAACCCUCCACUACCCUCCACAUCCAGCUGUAGGUACAGUAACCCUUCACUACCCUCCUCAUCCAGCUGUACGUACAGUAACCCUCCACUACCCUCCUCAUCCAGCUGUAGGUACAGCAGGGGUGUGUGUAUAUUGGGUUGUUUGAAGACACAAGUGUGUAACGUAUUAACCUAACACUUCAAAGUGUGUGUGUGUGUGUUUCAUUUGAACAGUGUGGUUCCUGGCCGUGUGUGUUUCAUUUGA